GGGUUGUGAGGUUAAGCGACUAAGCGUACACGGUGGAUGCCCUGGCAGUCAGAGGCGAUGAAGGACGUGCUAAUCUGCGAUAAGCGUCGGUAAGGUGAUAUGAACCGUUAUAACCGGCGAUUUCCGAAUGGGGAAACCCAGUGUGUUUCGACACACUAUCAUUAACUGAAUCCAUAGGUUAAUGAGGCGAACCGGGGGAACUGAAACAUCUAAGUACCCCGAGGAAAAGAAAUCAACCGAGAUUCCCCCAGUAGCGGCGAGCGAACGGGGAGCAGCCCAGAGCCUGAAUCAGUGUGUGUGUUAGUGGAAGCGUCUGGAAAGGCGUGCGAUACAGGGUGACAGCCCCGUACACAAAAAUGCACAUGCUGUGAGCUCGAUGAGUAGGGCGGGACACGUGGUAUCCUGUCUGAAUAUGGGGGGACCAUCCUCCAAGGCUAAAUACUCCUGACUGACCGAUAGUGAACCAGUACCGUGAGGGAAAGGCGAAAAGAACCCCGGCGAGGGGAGUGAAAAAGAACCUGAAACCGUGUACGUACAAGCAGUGGGAGCACGCUUAGGCGUGUGACUGCGUACCUUUUGUAUAAUGGGUCAGCGACUUAUAUUCUGUAGCAAGGUUAACCGAAUAGGGGAGCCGAAGGGAAACCGAGUCUUAACUGGGCGUUAAGUUGCAGGGUAUAGACCCGAAACCCGGUGAUCUAGCCAUGGGCAGGUUGAAGGUUGGGUAACACUAACUGGAGGACCGAACCGACUAAUGUUGAAAAAUUAGCGGAUGACUUGUGGCUGGGGGUGAAAGGCCAAUCAAACCGGGAGAUAGCUGGUUCUCCCCGAAAGCUAUUUAGGUAGCGCCUCGUGAAUUCAUCUCCGGGGGUAGAGCACUGUUUCGGCAAGGGGGUCAUCCCGACUUACCAACCCGAUGCAAACUGCGAAUACCGGAGAAUGUUAUCACGGGAGACACACGGCGGGUGCUAACGUCCGUCGUGAAGAGGGAAACAACCCAGACCGCCAGCUAAGGUCCCAAAGUCAUGGUUAAGUGGGAAACGAUGUGGGAAGGCCCAGACAGCCAGGAUGUUGGCUUAGAAGCAGCCAUCAUUUAAAGAAAGCGUAAUAGCUCACUGGUCGAGUCGGCCUGCGCGGAAGAUGUAACGGGGCUAAACCAUGCACCGAAGCUGCGGCAGCGACACUAUGUGUUGUUGGGUAGGGGAGCGUUCUGUAAGCCUGUGAAGGUGUACUGUGAGGUAUGCUGGAGGUAUCAGAAGUGCGAAUGCUGACAUAAGUAACGAUAAAGCGGGUGAAAAGCCCGCUCGCCGGAAGACCAAGGGUUCCUGUCCAACGUUAAUCGGGGCAGGGUGAGUCGACCCCUAAGGCGAGGCCGAAAGGCGUAGUCGAUGGGAAACAGGUUAAUAUUCCUGUACUUGGUGUUACUGCGAAGGGGGGACGGAGAAGGCUAUGUUGGCCGGGCGACGGUUGUCCCGGUUUAAGCGUGUAGGCUGGUUUUCCAGGCAAAUCCGGAAAAUCAAGGCUGAGGCGUGAUGACGAGGCACUACGGUGCUGAAGCAACAAAUGCCCUGCUUCCAGGAAAAGCCUCUAAGCAUCAGGUAACAUCAAAUCGUACCCCAAACCGACACAGGUGGUCAGGUAGAGAAUACCAAGGCGCUUGAGAGAACUCGGGUGAAGGAACUAGGCAAAAUGGUGCCGUAACUUCGGGAGAAGGCACGCUGAUAUGUAGGUGAAGUCCCUCGCGGAUGGAGCUGAAAUCAGUCGAAGAUACCAGCUGGCUGCAACUGUUUAUUAAAAACACAGCACUGUGCAAACACGAAAGUGGACGUAUACGGUGUGACGCCUGCCCGGUGCCGGAAGGUUAAUUGAUGGGGUUAGCGCAAGCGAAGCUCUUGAUCGAAGCCCCGGUAAACGGCGGCCGUAACUAUAACGGUCCUAAGGUAGCGAAAUUCCUUGUCGGGUAAGUUCCGACCUGCACGAAUGGCGUAAUGAUGGCCAGGCUGUCUCCACCCGAGACUCAGUGAAAUUGAACUCGCUGUGAAGAUGCAGUGUACCCGCGGCAAGACGGAAAGACCCCGUGAACCUUUACUAUAGCUUGACACUGAACAUUGAGCCUUGAUGUGUAGGAUAGGUGGGAGGCUUUGAAGUGUGGACGCCAGUCUGCAUGGAGCCGGCCUUGAAAUACCACCCUUUAAUGUUUGAUGUUCUAACGUUGACCCGUGAUCCGGGUUGCGGACAGUGUCUGGUGGGUAGUUUGACUGGGGCGGUCUCCUCCUAAAGAGUAACGGAGGAGCACGAAGGUUGGCUAAUCCUGGUCGGACAUCAGGAGGUUAGUGCAAUGGCAUAAGCCAGCUUGACUGCGAGCGUGACGGCGCGAGCAGGUGCGAAAGCAGGUCAUAGUGAUCCGGUGGUUCUGAAUGGAAGGGCCAUCGCUCAACGGAUAAAAGGUACUCCGGGGAUAACAGGCUGAUACCGCCCAAGAGUUCAUAUCGACGGCGGUGUUUGGCACCUCGAUGUCGGCUCAUCACAUCCUGGGGCUGAAGUAGGUCCCAAGGGUAUGGCUGUUCGCCAUUUAAAGUGGUACGCGAGCUGGGUUUAGAACGUCGUGAGACAGUUCGGUCCCUAUCUGCCGUGGGCGCUGGAGAACUGAGGGGGGCUGCUCCUAGUACGAGAGGACCGGAGUGGACGCAUCACUGGUGUUCGGGUUGUCAUGCCAAUGGCACUGCCCGGUAGCUAAAUGCGGAAGAGAUAAGUGCUGAAAGCAUCUAAGCACGAAACUUGCCCCGAGAUGAGUUCUCCCUGACUCCUUGAGAGUCCUGAAGGAACGUUGAAGACGACGACGUUGAUAGGCCGGGUGUGUAAGCGCAGCGAUGCGUUGAGCUAACCGGUACUAAUGAACCGUGAGGCUUAACCUUACAACGCCGAAGCUGUU
rnacentral:rRNA from 1 species